rnacentral:rRNA from 1 species
UUCGGGGGUGUAUAAAGUGGCGAACGGGUGAGUAACGCGUGGGUAACCUGCCCUGAAGUGGGGGACAACCCUGGGAAACCAGGGCUAAUACCGCAUAAGGUGUCCGGGAGGCAUCUCCUGGAUAUUAAAGGAGCAAUCCGCUUUUGGAUGGACCCGCGUAGGAUUAGCUAGUUGGUGAGGUAGUGGCUCACCAAGGCGACGAUCCUUAGCCGGCCUGAGAGGGCGAUCGGCCACACUGGGACUGAGACACGGCCCAGACUCCUACGGGAGGCAGCAGUGGGGAAUAUUGCGCAAUGGGCGAAAGCCUGACGCAGCAACGCCGCGUGGGGGAUGAAGGCCUUCGGGUUGUAAACCCCUUUGAUCAGGGAAGAAGCCUCACGGUGACGGUACCUGAAGAACAAGCCCCGGCUAACUACGUG